AAGCACCUGAACAUGUCAAGGAGAGCCCCACUUUGGAAUCCACUAUCCUCCAUGGAGACAGACACCGUCAAGGACAAGCACCUGGAUCAUCUCCUCCCCACAAAGAGAUACAGGCUGGUGGGAAAGCUGCUGACCAGCAAGAUCACGGGCUCCCUCCUCUCUGCAAGUAGUCUCAAGGCCAAAGACAAGCUGGUGGGAAAGCUCCAACCAGCAAGGCCAUAUGCUCCCGCCUCCCCUACCUAAAACCCCAAAUAAAAACCCUUCCUUUUAGCUUUUUGGGGAGUUUGGGAUUUCAGCAUUAGCUGCCCUCUCUCCUUGCUCAGAGCUGUGCAAAAAUAAAAU
rnacentral:lncRNA from 1 species